GAACAAAUAGAGCCUAAUUUAAAUUUAAUUCAUCGUAUAUUUAAAAUAUAAAUAUAUACUUAUUUUACAUGUGGGUCUCACCAUAUAUGUGUUUUACAUGUAAAUCUUAUCAACAGAGUGUAUACAUUCAACCAAUCUACGCAUGCCACAUAGUAUAUAAAAUCAUGGUAGGACCUACUUAAAAUAAUAGUUUAUUAAUUUUUUAUUGAUUGAAUAUAUAUACAUCCACGUGCAUACAAGAACUUUUCUAUGAAUAGUACAUCCCACCUGAUUAUAAAAGAUGAUGCAUAUGCAAUUGGUGCAUCUAAUAACCUCCCACAAGGAAAAAUAUGCAUCUAAUAAUCUCCCACAGGUAAAGAUAUUCAUUAAAUCCGAAGCCACCCAUGAGGCUCAGAAGUUAGUACGUCUCGGCGACCCUUGAAGUAAACAACCAUCUUAUCCCUGGGAGGCAAAUUGUCCUUGAUCAAAGGAUGGUUGAUAAAUCUGUGCAUCCAUGAAGAAAUUGCUGGAAAUUGCUGGCUCUCGAGGAUCUUCAUAGAUCCAACUUCUUCCCAUACAGGCAACCAGUAAGAGAUCCAUCCUACAGCAAUGUCCACAUAUCCAAUUCUUUCUCCUCCAAAAAAUUGCUUCCCUUUUAGUUUUAGCUCUUCCUCUGUCUUUUGCAGGGCUUCAAUGGUCAAUUUUAUUGCUCUUUCUUUUUCAUCUCCAAAGGAGCACAGGGCAUUCCAUGCAGCUUCCGUAAUCUUCUCUUCUGCAAAUUUAGCCCAGAAGCGGGCCUGGGCUCUUUCAUGAGGAUCUUGAGGCAGUAACGUAUACUUGUCCUUCCAUGUCUCGUCGAUAUACUCGAGGAUAAUGAAGGACUCAGCGAUUAUUUUCUUGUUGUGAAUAAGUACAGGGACCUUCUUAUGGACGGGAUUUAGCUGAAUAAGCGAAGAGCUCUUGUUAAAGAUGUCUUCUUCUAUGUACUCGUAAUCAACGCCUUUCAGUUUCAGAGCCCACUCUACUCUGCGCACAAAUGGGCUAACCCAGAAACCUAAAACCUUCACCACCUCCUCCUUUGCCAUGAGAGAUUCUGCUAUUUUUCUUUGAGCUGAUGAGUAAUAACUGGCAAGUUCAGUGUUAUUUGUAUACGUCCUCCGUCAGUGCUGAGAACCUCAGUGCGAUGGGACGCUGCUGGUUGGUGUUGAC
rnacentral:misc_RNA from 1 species